AGUGGCGCACGGGUGAGUAAUAUAUAGGUAACGUGCCUUCAAGAGGGGGAUAACAGAUGGAAACGUCUGCUAAAACCCCAUAUGCCUUUAAUACGAAAGUAUGCAAGGGAAAUAUUUAUAGCUUGAAGAUCGGCCUGUACAGUAUCAGAUAGUUGGUGAGGUAAUGGCUCACCAAGUCAAUGACGCUUAACUGGUUUGAGAGGAUGAUCAGUCACACUGGAACUGAGACACGGUCCAGACUCCUACGGGAGGCAGCAGUGGGGAAUAUUGCACAAUGGGGGAAACCCUGAUGCAGCAACGCCGCGUGGAGGAUGACACAUUUCGGUGCGUAAACUCCUUUUAUAUAAGAAGAUAAUGACGGUAUUAUAUGAAUAAGCACCGGCUAACUCCGUGCCAGCAGCCGCGGUAAUACGGAGGGUGCAAGCGUUACUCGGAAUCACUGGGCGUAAAGAGCGUGUAGGCGGAUAGAUAAGUCAGAAGUGAAAUCCAAUAGCUUAACUAUUGAACUGCUUUUGAAACUGUCUAUCUAGAGUAUGGGAGAGGUAGAUGGAAUUUCUGGUGUAGGGGUAAA
rnacentral:rRNA from 1 species